AGUAGGAUGUUUGAGCUAUAGUUAUGGACUAAAUAAAUCUGGGGCCCCGGGAGUGGAGUGAGGCGGAAUCUGAGGGGGUGUGGGUUGGCUUCUCAGUCUAACAAAAACUUCGUUUCCAGGAGGAUGGCAUCCACAUCUGCCAGGAGUGGGGACAAAAAGGACAUCAGGUCAUCUCAAGCUGCCGCCUCCUUAGGUGGAGGGCAGAAAUUAUCCUGCUCUGAAGAAUUCCUGACCCGAAUCAGCACAGAACUUACAGACGAAGCACUGUUUAUUGCUCGCUCCCGUUUGAGUCCUCUGCCCAAUAAGGAAAAGAACACAAAAGACCAAGGGACUCAGAUAUCUAGACAUGGUGAACGCUCUCCUUCUUCAUCUAGAGACCAGUCCCUGACUCACUCCCAACCAUAGCUGCUCUCCCCAGGAAUCUUCUGCCUCCUUGCCCAUCCUAGGCACAGUGCCCCUUAACUUCUAACUCAUUCAUUGUCACUACCCAGGAACCCCCUUGUCCCUACCUGCUCUAGCCACAACUCUUCUAAACAUGGGGAAAGUUGUUCCUUUAACUGGGGCCUCUAAUUCCAGUGUUCUUCACUAAGACCCGAGGCACUGACACCCGGUGAGUGAGGCUCUGUCCUUCUCCCAGGAGCCUGUGGGGAGAGAGCAAGGGUUGACAGCAUCCCAGCAGGGUAGGGGGAAGUUUUCAACCAUGAAGUUCUAUUCUAUUCCCUCCUGAUGCUCCAGUUCCUGAUUCUCAGCCUAUUCUGUUGUCUUCUGUCAUCUCCAGCUCUGACAAAAAUCGAACCCGAACCAAGGCACACCUUCUGCCAUCUCCUCGUGAAAAGGGACCACUCCCCAACAGCCUGACAACUGGAGGAUGAGCUCGGCCCUCCCUAGUACUGCUCUCUCAGCUUCUUGCCUUCCCCCACUAUGUCCCUCAGUGAAAACCUCAAGGCCUCUCUUUUGCAACUGGCUAAGCCUCUCAUCUUGGGAGGAACUCCUGGUCAUAAGCAAUGCCACCUUUGAAACCAAGAAAAUCUUCUGGAACUGUCGCGGGGCCCUCCACCCUCCGUGGGCAAAUGCUACUGAGAAGAAAAGGUUUUAAUAAAGAACCAGGAUCCUCCCUUCCCCGAGAUGGUGGCAGUGUUCUGGAGGAGCUCCUGGCAGGGGAUGCCUUUCUUCUACAGGGAGACAGUGCAUGUCAGCAUUUCUCUAAAAUCCAGUUGUCAGACACCUGCUAGAGCCAAACCCACUGCCUGGUACCAUUUAACUAGCCCUUGCAUCCAGGAGGCCACUCUUGAUGGUCAGGAGAGCCUUUGCCUUGGGUUCUCAGGACCCUGGGCCUCUGCUUCUCCCUCUGAGCUUGUGGGGUCGCAUGGUUAAGAGAGCGUGUUGACCUGUUACCAGACAGAAGGUGAUGCAGGAAGCCCUGAGGGGUUUGUAUUUGCGGCCCUUGUGGCUCCUCGUUUGUUCCUCUGAGGAAGUCCAUUCACCUCUUUCAGCCUUACUUUCCUUAACUGAACACAGAGUAGCCGGGCAGUGGUGGCGCGCACACCCUUGAUCUCAGCACUAGGGAGGCAGAAGCAGGUAGAUCUCUGUGAGUUCAAGGUCAACUUGGUCUAUAGAAUGAGUUCUAGGACAGCUAGAGCUACACAGAGAAACCCUGUCUCAAAAAACCCAAACAAACAACCCCAAAACUGUAAGUAAUAAAUUAUCCCAGGUUCCCAAGUUCCUUACAAGGAUUAAAAAAACAACGGAAGGUGGGUUAUCCCUCUUAAUUCUGAAUAAUCUCAGCACUCAGUAGGCAGAGGCAGGAAGAUUGCUUCCAAUUCAUAGUAUCAAGCCAGUGUGGACUACACAGUGAUGUCCUGUCUCAAAAACAGAAGACAAAACAAAAACAGAAACAAAACAACUAGAAUCCUACCCACUCAACAGGCUCCUGCUGGAUCCCAGGAGGAUCUGGGGUUCAAGACCAACCUGGACACAUAAGGCCCCAUCUCAAAAACAAAAGUAUUCAAUACAAAAGCUGUC
ensembl:lincRNA